rnacentral:tRNA from 1 species
GCGCCCGUAGCUCAGCUGGAUAGAGCGCUGCCCUCCGAAGGCAGAGGUCAGAGGUUCGAGUCCUCUCGGGCGCGCCA